rnacentral:tRNA from 1 species
GCAGUAGUAGCUCAGCGCCAGAGCACCGGUCUUGUAAGCCGGCCACCGGAGGUUAAAAUCCCCCCUACUGCU